AGAGUUUGAUCAUGGCUCAGAACGAACGCUGGCGGCAGGCCUAACACAUGCAAGUCGAGCGCCCAGCAAUGGGAGCGGCGGACGGGUGAGUAACACGUGGGAAUUUUCCUCAAGGUACGGAACAACUCAGGGAAACUUGGGCUAAUACCGUAUGAUGCAGAGAUGCCAAAGAUUUAUCGCCUUGGGAUAAGCCCGCGACAGAUUAGGUAGUUGGUGAGGUAACGGCUCACCAAGCCUGUGAUCUGUAGCUGGUCUGAGAGGACGAUCAGCCACAUUGGGACUGAGACACGGCCCAAACUCCUACGGGAGGCAGCAGUGGGGAAUCUUGCGCAAUGGGCGAAAGCCUGACGCAGCCAUGCCGCGUGAAUGAUGAAGGUCUUAGGAUUGUAAAGUUCUUUCGCCUGUGACGAUGAUGACGGUAACAGGAGAAGAAGCCCCGGCUAACUUCGUGCCAGCAGCCGCGGUAAUACGAAGGGGGCUAGCGUUGUUCGGAAUUACUGGGCGUAAAGCGCGCGUAGGCGGCUUUGCAAGCCAGAGGUGAAAUGCCUGAGCUCAACUUAGGAAUUGCCUUUGGGACUGCGAGGCUUCGAGGACUGGAGAGGUGAGUGGAAUUCCCAGUGUAGAGGUGAAAUUCGUAGAUAUUGGGAAGAACACCAGUGGCGAAGGCGGCUCACUGGCCAGUUUCUGACGCUAAAGUGCGAAAGCGUGGGGAUCAAACAGGAUUAGAUACCCUAGUAGUCC
rnacentral:rRNA from 1 species